AGUGCGAAUGCCCGCUUGUUACUCCGAAAGAAACUUGUGGAAAGUUAAUAUCCGAACAGAAAUAAAAACAUUUGUGAAGGAUUUUUUUUGCUGCAUUGCCUUUGACGCUGGAUAAAGGAGGACGUGCUGUGGUAUGUUACGGACUUUUGAACUGGAACAGCUAACGCUCUGCACUUGGCUAGCUGCAUUUACCGCCUAUGCAGCAAAUUUGUCUUCAGGAGCGCUUUUGUGUCUGUCUUGUCUUCUGUGUUUUACUGUUAUGUCCAUGCCAGGGCAGAAGUAAAUUUUCAGGGGUGAAGAUGCUGUUCACCUUGACCAGCUAAGACUACAGAUUGUAGAUGAAGUCGAGAAAAGUGAAAAGAAUCCUGUCCUGAUUACAAAGCUGAUGCACACAACUUUGGCCUUGCGAUGCAAAGAGAUCAUCAAUGAUGACCUACCAGUAGGUCAGAUCCGGGAUUGCUGGCCUACUCUGAAAUUCCAGUCCCAGAUCUGUGCAGAAUUCCACAGGAUUACAAACCUCCACCUGAAGAACCACUUUUAUGCUGUGUUGGACCAACAUGCUCCCCUGCUCCAGAGCUUAUUCAGAAGGAAAGCUGUUUGCACAGGGAACGUGUCUGAUGUCCUGUCUCAGCUCUUCAGAAGCUAGAAUCUCCAGGAACAAGCUGAUAUCCAUGCUCAACGUGCUGGCGUGCUUCAUGCCCUCCCUGCCUAUUUGUACGAAGACACCUCUACCUUCAUCAAAACUUCGGAUAUGAUGCAUACUGAUAGACCAGAUAUUAGUGAAGUGCCACUUGGACUCCUCCUGAUCAGAGCCAAUUCCAGCGAUGCAACAUUCUUCUGCCCUGAGAAGACUGCAGUUUUGGUCGAGGGUGGGAUCUUGAAUGUCACUUAAGGAACGUUCCUCCUGAACUACUCAUAACUGACAUAAGGCGGUAAGGAGGUUUAUAACACUUUGUUUUAUGUUUCUAAAGAAGUAUUUUUCUAUUUAAAGUUUUAUUGCUCUGUUGUUGAGACUGUGAUUGCACUCUACAAAUGUGCAUUUUGCAUAACCACAGUAUUGGCAUAUUAAAAAGGUUACCAAUUAUAUUUCAGUGUAUUAGCUGCACUAUACGGUAAUUUACUUUCAUUCAGUUUUCCCACUUAAUAAUGCAGGAUUUUCUUUUCCUUUUGUUUUUUUAAUAAAAAGGUCAUACUCAUGUGUUAAUCAAAUCUGAAUACUCUUAAAACAUGUUGUGAAAUUCUUUAUUUCUAAUAUUGUAACCUUGUGCCAAAACUGGACAUUUCUGACAUUAUUCCCUAUAAAAUGUGGUGGAUUUAUGUCUUUGGGCUUUUUGUCAGAAAAGCUAUGUGUUAAAGUAACUCAAUAAAUUUGUAACUUGAAUUUAUA
ensembl:lncRNA